CUUGGCAGGAGAAGGGGGAAGCGGUCGGGUUUUUCCUGGGCUCGUUACCGGGGUGACAUUCAGUGCCAGGCGAGCUUCGCCGGUCACCGCCAACUCCCACCUGGAAAACAAACCAAACCAAACAAAAAGAGAAACCAACCCCCCUUCACUCCCCCCCCCCCCAAAAAAAAACCCCCAACCUGCUAUACCGAAGGGGGGGCGACCCGAUGGGGAGGCCGACGGGACACCUCGCCCAGGGGAUGCGGGGAUACUUGGAGGCACGCAGGAGCAGCCAGCAGGCCAUUUGCCGAGCCGCCGCGGGAUCGGGAAACGGGUUGGGGGGGGCCCGUUUAAUAUAUAUAUUAUAUAUAUAAUAUAUGUAUUGAAAGAAAAGGCUCCCGAAACGCAGGAGGCGGCGUAAAAUGCUCCUAGGCGAGGAGUGAGGAUGCUGCCGUGCAGGCCCGGCGCCGCACGGCAGCAUCCCCCCCCCCCCCAGUCUCCUCCAAGCCUCUGCAGGGGAAGGCUGGGGGGGGGUGUGUGUGCGGGACACGGACUUCCCCCGCCGCACAGACCCCGGGUUCAAUUUGGGGUGCUCCCGCGGGGCGCGGCGGCCGCUCGGCAGCACAAUGGCGUCGCUGCUAAGGACUGGCGCAAACCCUGGCGGGAUUUACUCGCGGGUGCUUAAACCAUCUCCCCCUACCUCCGCUGCCAGGGCUGCGGAGCAGCUAUUUCCGAAAGCUGGGCGGUUUUACGUUAAAAGAGCGGGCGAGCUCCGGCCUGCAGUUGGCACCGGGGUUGGUGUGAGCAGUGGUAGGGGCUGGCAAGGCACCCGCGAUUUCUUCCCUUGAUUUUCUUGUACUUUCAGGCAAAUCCUCUAAGUCUACGCAAAUAAUCUUGCUAAAUUCAGGGCACCUUCUACACGUUGGAUUUAACCCGCGUGCAGAAGUAUUUCCAUGACUAGGCCUCUCUCAAAAGCAAACUGCCCAUGGUCGCUUCGGUUUAAGCGCCUCUUCAGCUAAAGAUCAAUUGCUGCACACACACACUCUUAAUAGCCCCAACUGCUGAAACACCACAACACCCUGCAGAGUGACCACAGAGCGUCCCAGCAGUGCCCAAAGUCAAGUUUACCUCUUCUGCACUGAGUUGUGCACCACCUAUUUUAAUAACCAGUUACAACGUUGGGGAUACACAUGUAACUAGUACAGCGGAGUUCAUGAAGCGACACAUGUAGCAGGGCUGAAAUGAAAUUAUUUUUCUGUGGCCGCCUCUGUUCAGCCUUAAUAUUAGAAUUAACGCUUUCAUUUUCCUCAUUUAAAUACAAUAAAAGGAAAAUUGCUUUUGCUUAAUAUUGCUACUAAUCAGGUUUUGCUAUUCCAGUUGUUAGAAGGUAAUAAAGUCAGGGAGAAGUCAGUGUGCGCCUCUUCUGUUGCUGGACUCUGUGCUCUCACCGGCACCAUGUUUUAAAUGGCUAUCUCGCCUCUUGCAGCUGGAAAAAUAGUUGGGGGAAAAGGAAGUCCCUCUCGGAAUAUGGUACAGUCCAAACAUCAUUUUAAGGAGCCUGAAAGUGAAAGCACUUUUUUCUUUCUCUCUGUCUUCUUUUAACCCAAGCUAUUUAAGAUGCUUUCUGGCUUGGCUAGAAAGACGAGUCUGCUUCAUGUUUCUGUUUUGGACUUGGUUUGAACUGCUUUUAAGUGAAAUUCUUACCUGUCUGAACUAUACUGUCUCAGCAGAGCUGGGUACAUUACUGAUAUAUUUUUUUGGUAGACCUGAAAAGCAUUUUGUACAGCUUGAUCGUUGUCUGUAUUUCGUCAUUAGUUUUUUUAAGUCAGGCUCUUCUGAUUGAUGUGGGGAAUUGCUUUGAAAGGAUGAAGGGUAUGGCAUAGCUACCCAAGAUGCUACUUGCAAUUAUUCCAUACCUCAGCUAAGAGGGAGAUUUUUAGUUGUGAUUGUUACACUUUUAAAAGUGAAUUAGUUAAUCAAAUUGCUAUUUUUGGAAUGCUCUUAAAGGAACAUUAAAAUGCAUAAAUUUCAUUAAAAUAAAUGAGCAGAUAGGCAACAAAACAAGUAUUAGUCAAAUAAGAUCUCACCCAUGGAGCCAAAUUCAGCCCUAGUGACAUCAACUGAGUUGUGCUUGUCUACAGCAUAUUUAAUUUGGCCUCUGCAGCCACACAGGUGACACUAUGUGGUUGUCAAAGGUGUGUAUAUUAAAAAUGUGCGAGCCAUGCUUCUCCAACAUGAUUAACCUCUGAAAUUCACCUGGUUUCCAUUUAACUCAGCUGGGCCAUCCUAUCGCAUAUGCAAUUUUUGGUGCUCAUACACCCCAGAGAUGCAGAGAGGCAUCCCCAACCCUGGUAUUAGUCUAAGGGACAUGAGGUGUCUCUGAAGUGAGGGUGUGAUGAGGUGGAUUUCAGCAGAGGCUGUUCACAAUGGGCUGCGUGUAUGCUUCAGUUAAAAGGCUGCACUGAAGUCUCUCCUGCCAUCUUUCAUUACUGUUGUUACUCAUGCCAGUGAGAGUAAAGGAAAGGUUGGUAUGUCUAUAAUCACACGUUCAUUUGCUAUGUAGAUAUAUCCUAAGAGCCUCUCAGCACAGGAAAAUUAUCCUGAAAUAAGGUUGGACGUGAAUGUCAAGCAGAAUGUGCUCAGAUAGCUUGUUCAUUCUGGAAUGACCAAGCUGUUUCCUGGUUUCACUUAAUCCACUUUCAAAGUGGAUUAAGAUAAUUCAAGAAAGGGAAUUCUUCUGCUGGUACAAGAUUUGUCUACACAUGGGUUUAGUCAAAAGUCAUUACUGCAGUGUACCUAAUAGGUGUUUUGGAAUGAUUUGGCUCAUAGACAAGUCCAAAGUCCCACAGGUGAAAAUAACAGAAUUUAGUCUUUCUGUAUAACAUGAGGUUAAUUUACCCCAAUGUUUUACCUACUUCUUUCCUUGUGAAGCAUGUUUAAUUCAUUACAUGUUUUUCUUUUAUCAACAAAUCCCACAACAGCUCUGUAUUUAUGAUCAAUUCCAGGGUAGAAAUGCCAUGUGCACUCCACUAAAAUAAACAAUUUAAUCAGUAUAUACACCAAGUACCUUCUCAACUGCCUUGAGGUUGACAAUAGUUUCUUUGCUGGAGAAAAUACCAGCUUCUCAAUGGUGAAGUAGUCCCGCUACUCCAUGUAACAGGCAAUGAUGCCACACAUUGGAUUCUCCUUCCUAAGCUCAAUUUGUGAUUAUGAGCAUGGCUUUGCUCUCAUGUGUUGGUCUGGGUUGAGGAUACAGAGAGUGGAUUUCACAUGUGCCUCCCUCACACCAAACCUGCUUAUUUAAGAAAGAAGCUUUGUGGUAAGAAAGGGAAUUUCUCAUCCAGCGGGGAAAGUGUCUUUAAGUCUCUGAGAUGAUAGCACAACAUGGGCAAGAGGAAACCUCAGCACACAGCCAAUGCAAUGAAAUUAAGGAUCCUCUAUGGGAAUUGGUUAGUAGUGCCAAUGGUUAAUAUUUGUCAUAACAACAACCAACAGUUUUGUUUUUUGUUCUAACAAUGUGAAUUACGCAUUAAACAUUAAUACAAGCGAGUGUACUUUUCUUUUGAUCUUCAAGCAUAGUCAUUUCAAAUGAGAGUUUAUACAUGAGCAUUGAAACAAAUCCCUGAGUCAUGUGAAUUUACAUUGGUUUUACUCUGUGGGAAAGAUAUCCCACAUGAGUUACCCAUGUCUGCAAAACAUAACAUACUCAUAAAUCAGAAGGAAAAAAUAAGAAGAGCUUGUUUUUGGCUGUUGGAAUGUAAAUAUCUGUGUAGAUAUUUAGCUUGUACGCUAGUGGUAAUGCAACAUUAAAAAGUUAAUUUAUCAGAGAUCAGGAUUCGGCAUGGGGCCCUCACCUAAUAGGAGAUCCAAGUCAGCUCAGAAUAAGCAAGCUCACCCUUUAGCUUCUGCAGUCUGGCUCCUGCUGAGUAGUGAGCCUAGUGUCAGAGGAAUUUGAACUAACUCAAAGGGAUCAGAAUUUGGCUUGCUUCAUACAGACAAAAGUUGCCAAACUGCCGUCAUUAAGUAGUAAUACUGCAUGUACUUCGCAGACAAACUGUACGGUGCUGAGUGGCACCUUUCCAAAUGCCCUUGACAGCCAGCUGCAGUGCAAGGCUGACCCAGUCCAGACCAACUCUAGAACCUGCUCGGCCAUAUCUGAUACCUGCUCCUCUCGUUUUAACAUCAGUCACCAACAUUGCAUUCCAUGAAAAUAUAAACACUAUGGACUGUGUAUCUGCCAAGACAGUUAUUUAAAAUAAAAACAGAAUUUAAGCCCUUUCCCCUUCCCCAUGCUACACAAAUAUUGCAAUAACCAGCAGUCUGCACUUAAGUAACUAUGCUGUAUGUGCAAAGUACAUAUGACUUACUGAGGAAAGGACAGGUACAAAACAGCACGUGAUAGGCCUGAUUCCUGGGUAUACAGGUAGUGACUACAGGAUUUCCAGAAUGCCUCUUGCCUUUCCAAAACAGGUCUCGAAGCCAGAGGUUGCAGAAGAGGAACGGCUGCCAAGAAGGUAUUAUGUUUAAUGGCAGAUAGGCUCUAUCUAUGAUUCAGGUCAUAGCUCAGGAAUCUCAAAAGCCCAUUAAUGUAUUUCAUUCUUAAUGUAUAAGUGCUAAAGGAGUCCUGGAAGCCAGAGAUCCAGGAUUAUCCCACAUAACUCAGUGUUCUCACAGGAGGCUACAGUCAUGCUGCCCUGCUGCUUCUUUUCUGUGGCCUGAAUAACCUUAAACGCUGAUGGUAGAGCUUCAAAAGGAAGAGCGGAAGAAGCCUAUGCAUAGAAUAGUUUAUAGAGUGGAAGAGGAAGAAACAUGAAACCCUUCAUCCAUGAACUUGAAUUCUCUAGCUGCUAUGUUUUAUAUAAAGACAGAGGAACUGAUACUGUUGAGUUGAGAAGAAAGCACCUGUGACGCUCCAUUAGGGAACCCCAGCACUGUUUGUGUGAAUUAAGCCUUCCCUGAGGUUUCAGAACUUCACCUGGCAUGUUGAGGCAAAAGAUGAAUAGGUUAAUGUUGGAUCUUAAGCAGUUUUGGGCUGAAGGCUCAACUACCUCAGCUCCAUCGAGACCAUGCUUGAAGCACACAGACAUUGCCCAGCUUUAGAAGUUUAGUGAGUCUUCUGGCUUUUCAAAAUGCCUGGGUACAUCCCCAGCACACACAAAAAGCUGUACUUGCAAAGAUGUGAUAGAUACAGGUAGAAAAAGGUGUAUGGAAGCUUGUAAGGAGGACUUCCUUAGCAUCAGUCAGGGUGACAAAGCCUGUUGGACCGCAGGGUCCCAGGCUGCGUCCACAGGCCUGGGUUUCCUGCUAGAAACGCUCCCCUGCCAUUUGGUGCAUGUUAGAGAUGCUCAUUUCUAGAGACCCAAAUGAAAUGUGCUGAUACUAAACCCAUCCUUCCUCUUACACCUGACGGCCUCCAGCAGGUGGUCAGGAGGCCAAUAGGAAGGAGAGGACAUGAGUUUUAAUCCGUUUGUUCAUGAUGAAAAAUUAUGAGAAAAGUGAAAACAUCUUAUUCUAUAGAGGAAUGCUUUUACUUAUAUUUAACUGCUUAACCCCAGUCAGAACCCUGAUUUCCAUUACUGUAUAUGAAUGACAUGGUAUGGUGAAACCUUAUUCAGUAAUUAGCUGGUCAGAGCCACAGACUAGAAAACAGCUAUGCAGCCAGUGAAAGCUGACAUAGCUCUCAUGAAAUCAGUGGGCUCAUACCAAUUCAUACUACCUGGGAAUCUGGUCUUCAAUUUCCAAUUAAAAAAUUGCAUUUUUCCAUUAUAUUUGUUGGGCCUGUUCAGCCUGGAGAAGUGAAGCUGCAUGGAGACCUCAGAGCAGCUUCCAAUAUCUGAAGGGGGCUACAAGGAUGCUGGAGAGGGACUCUUCAUCAGGGACUGUAGCAGUAGGACAAGGGGUGAUGGGUUCAAACUGAAGCAGAGGAAGUUCAGGUUAGAUAUAGGGAAGAAGUUCUUCUCUAUGAGGGUGGUGAGGCACUGGCACAGGGUGCCCAGAGAAGUUGUGAAUGCUCCAUCCCUGGCAGUGUUCAAGGCCAGGUUGGACAGAGCCUUGGGUGACAUGGUCUAGUGUAAGCUGUCCCUGCCUAUGGCAGGGGGUUGGAACCAGAUGAUCUUAAGGUCCUUUCCAACCCAAACCAUUCUAUGAUUUCGGUCAUAUUAUACAGCAAAAGCAAUAAAGUAGAAAGUUCUAAAUAUUUAUACAGCCAAGACAGAAGCAGAACCAAUGCAAAGUCUUCAGCAAUCAAAUCCUACAACCACAUUAUCACAUAUUUCAGUGUUGGAGCCAUGUGGGUUACUCCUUAACUUUAGGGCAGCUCAUUUUCUUGACUCCAUCUUUCCAGACACUAUUAGAGCUACAGCCUUCCCCUCCCCUCCUGUGCUAAUCUACCACCCCCAGGGAGAGGGGAACAAGUUACACGAUGGGUGUUUGUCCAUGGGCGGAUGUCUAAAUGUGAAGGGAAACAACUGAAUUUUAAUGACAGAAGAUAAUUUCUGGGCAGUGCAGGAAUUAGUGGGGCUUGCCGCUGCCAGGAGCUGCAUGCUAUGCUCUUCUCUCCUACUGAGGUUAGCAAGAUGCAGAUGAGAAGGAUGCAGAAACAAGUCCCACAAUACUAGCUCCUUCUCUCAUGCCAGAAAUAGCAGGGCAAGAGACCUACUGCCGUCAGGCCCAACAGAGUUGCCCCAGUGUCAGUGCAGAGCGAUGUUGGCAAAAAUCAGGGUAACUGCUCCACCUUUACACCAGCAAAGAUGUGUUCUCAUUAGGUAUUUAUAGCCUAGUAGCAUUGUUCAGGGGAAGAAGGUACAUUUAUUAAGUGCUGUACAAAAUAUUUCAUCAGAUUAAAUUCCUGCACCCAAAAGCCCAACAAAAAAGAUUGCAGGGUGACAAACAACAGGAUAUCCUGGGAAGAAAGUACACCAGUAAUUG